CCCUUAGAUGUCCUGGGCCGCACGCGCGCUACACUGAUGCAUUCAACGAGUUUUACCUUGGCCGAGAGGCCUGGGCAAUCUUUUAAACCUGCAUCGUGAUAGGGAUAGAUUAUUGCAAUUAUUAAUCUUGAACGAGGAAUUCCUAGUAAACGCAAAUCAUCAAUUUGCAUUGAUUACGUCCCUGCCCUUUGUACACACCGCCCGUCGCUACUACCGAUUGGGAAAAUUUUAGAGAGUCCUGGACUGAUGAUUGUUCGGCUUCACGGCCUUACUUUCGUCGGGAAAGAAUUCGAUAAUAUUUUUCUAGAGGAAGUAAAAGUCGUAACA
rnacentral:rRNA from 1 species